UCCCUGGUGGCCCAGUGGUUAGGGCUCGGUGCUUUCACUGCCGGGGCCCCAGGUUCAAUCCCUGGUCAGGAAA